AGACACACCCCCAUCACAGACAUACUCCACAGUGCACACAUCUCUCAAAAACACAAUUUAACACCACAGUACACAUACCUCACAGAUGCACACCACUCACCCUACACACACUUCAGUGCACACCCCUCAUACACAGCUUACCACACAGUCCACAGUGCACACAGCACAGACACACACCACACACACACUUCACAGCGCAAUAACCUCACAGAGGCACACACCACUCACCGCACACACACAUUCCUCAGUGAACACUACACAAAAACCAUGCACCAAAGACAGUUCACACAUGCUCCAAAAUACACACCUCUCAGACGCACAUCCCUCACCCACAAACCACACACAAUUCAGAGCACACACAUUAGACACACACCACACACUCCAUUGCGCAGACCAAACGAGAAACACACCUUGCAUUACACACUUCACACACAUGCCACAAUACACACUGCUCAGACACACUUCACAGUGCACACACCUCACACGCAACUCACCCCACACACUCCACAGUGCACGCACCUCACUCAGACACAAACCACACACCACACUACACACAUCUUUGAGACAACUCCACUCACAAUGCACUCCUUUCAUAAUGCACACAUGCAGACACUACUCACCACACACAUUUCUUAGUGCACACCUCUCACAGACCCAUGCCACUCACCACACACACACUGCACAGUGCACAUACCUAUCAAAGAUACACACUACUGAACACACUCCACAGUGCACUUCACACAGAAACAAACCAUGUACUGCACACAGUUCACACAUGCACUCCAAAAUACUUCUCAGACAUUCCUCACCACCCACACCACACAAUCCACAGAGCAUACACAUCAGACACCACUCACCACACACACUCCACAACACCUAAGAAACACACCUCGCAUUACACACUUCACACAACACAUGCCAGUGUGUGUGCACUCCACAGUGCACACACCUCAGACACACCACUCAUCAAACACACUGCACAGUGCACACACUUCUCAAAGACACACACACACCACAGUGCACACACCUCACACACAACUCACCACACAC
rnacentral:lncRNA from 13 species